AAACAGCAUCACCUUUAAUUUAAAAAACAAAUUAAAUCCAACAGAGAUCAGCAAAAACAGGAAGAGAUUAUGCAAGAUUUUGAGUGUGCUACUAAAACCCAAAAAAAAGCAGAAAAGCAUGACCCACCAAAGAGGCCCAUUGCUUUGGACAAUUGCAAUCUGUGUUUGAACACCACCUGUUUGACAAAAGAAAAAAAAAAUGGCCAAAGAAGUUCACCAACAGCAACAUCUCCAACUGGGUUCCUGUCUCUCUUCCCAUGACAAGCAGCAACAGCAGCUCUCCUUGGCUAAGAGGUCGCGGCAGCAGCGAAACAAUGAAUGGAUUUUCCGGGAUGUUCCCAGUGAUAUUACGAUACAAAUGAAUGGAGGGGAUUUCUCACUACACAAGUUUCCUCUUGUUUCUCGAAGUGGACGAAUCCGAAAGUUAGUCGCUGAACAUAGGGACUCUGAUAUCUCAAGAGUGGAGCUUCUUAAUCUACCAGGAGGUGCUGAGUCAUUUGAGUUGGCAGCAAAGUUCUGUUAUGGUAUCAACUUUGAAAUCACUUCUGGAAAUGUUGCUCAGCUUUGCUGUGCUUCUGAUUACCUAGAAAUGACUGAAGAGUUCUCAAAAGACAAUCUUGGUUCACGUGCUGAAGAAUAUCUUGAAUGCAUUGUCUGCAAGAACCUUGAAAUGUGUGUUGAAGUUUUGCUCCAAUGUGAGAGUUUACUCCCUCUGGCUGAUGAGCUGAAGAUAGUUAGCCGCUGCAUCGAUGCAAUAGCCUCAAAGGCUUGUGUAGAGCAAAUUGCUUCAAGCUUCUCGCGGUUGGAGUAUAGCAGCUCAGGGAGGCUUCACAUGAACAGGCAAGCCAAGUGUGAUGGGGACUGGUGGAUAGAAGAUCUUUCUGUUCUUCGAGUCGACUUGUACCAAAGAGUCAUAACAGCCAUGAAGUGUCGUGGAGUUCGCCCUGAGAGUAUCGGUGCAUCUCUUGUGAACUAUGCCCAGAAGGAGUUGACAAAGAAGUCCAGCUUAUGGAACCCAUCCGGCCAGACAAAAGUUGAUGUAAUUCCAGCUUCAACUGGACACGAAAAACUUGUGGUUGAGACAAUUGUCGGCCUUCUGCCCGUUGAGAAACUUGUUGUUCCGAUUACUUUCCUAUUCGGGCUUUUGCGAAGUGCUGUAAUGCUUGAUUGCACAAUUGCUUGCAGACUUGAUCUGGAGAGGAGGAUUGGCUCCCAGUUGGAUAUUGCCACUCUUGAUGAUCUUCUGAUCCCUUCUUUCAAGCACGCAGGUGAUACUUUAUUUGAUGUGGAUACAGUGCAUAGGAUUUUAGUUAACUUUUCUCAGCAAGACGACAGUGAAGAAGAUAUGGAAGAUGGCUCUGUCUUUGAAUCAGACAGUCCUCAUUCGCCGUCCCAAACCGCUUUGUUUAAAGUUUCAAAGUUGUUGGACAAUUACCUUGCUGAAAUAGCCCCAGAUGCAAACCUCAAGCUUGCUAAAUUCCUAGUCAUUGCUGAUGCUUUACCCGAGCAUGCACGAACGGUUCAUGAUGGGUUAUAUCGAGCCAUUGAUAUUUACUUAAAAGCCCAUCAAGGCUUAUCAGAUACAGACAAGAAGAAGCUGUGCAAAAUGAUUGAUUUCCAAAAGCUCUCACAAGAAGCUGGUGCACACGCUGCACAGAAUGAGCGCCUCCCUCUGCAGUCAAUAGUACAAGUGCUUUAUUUUGAGCAAAUAAGGCUCAGAAAUUCCUUGGGCUGCUCGGGUGAAGAUGAACCCAAGCCAAUGCACCAGUCAUGGCGGAUCAGCAGUGGUGCACUCAGUGCAGCAAUGUCUCCGCGAGACAACUAUGCAUCAUUGAGGAGAGAAAACCGUGAGCUAAAACUUGAGCUAGCUCGGUUACGGAUGAGACUAAAUGAUCUUGAGAGAGAACAUGUCUGUAUGAAGAGGGACAUGGAGAAGUCCAAUUCUCGUAAAUUUAUGAGUUCUUUCUCUAAGAAACUUGGCAAGCUGAGCUUCUUUGGACAUAGUUCUUCAAGGGCAUCCACUUCUCCAUCGAGGCAGUCGUAUAGAACUGAUUCUAAAGUGAUUGAGAGAACGUGUGCAAGCACAGAUUAGGUAAAAGCUACCUUAAGACGAAGAGACUUACGAGCACUAUCGGGUUUUCUUAAACAGGAUUUCAACAAGAUUUUCCGUGAGUUUUCUUGUUUGUGGAAGACAACCCUGGCCAAGCUCCAACCUGGGAAUCUGUUUGGAGCCCUUUGUCCGAGUCAACUUCUUCAUCACUAGGGCUUACAGUAGCACAAGAAAAGAACUGAUGCUUAAGCCUUCGUCUCUGCUCUUGAUGCUUCAGUGUCACGCCAGCAUAUGCCUUUGGUGGGGAAGUUAGUUGUUCUGAUGCUGGAUGGAGACCAUGAUCUUUAGCAGAUUGUCUCUGCUGUGAGGAAGAAGAAAAAGAAGAUUGGCAACCGCGCUCUCGGGCUUUAAGCAGCUGAUAAAUCGUGCGGUUAGGAACUAUAAAAAACAAUUUUCCAGGAGUCAAAACUGCUUCAGCCUUAACCACAAUCCAUGGGAACUCAAAGAUGUCUGGCCUAGUUAUGGAGUGCCUGGGGUACUUUCUCAUCACCUCUUGAGCUGUUAUUGGUUCCUUGUGAACCUCCACACGCCUCCCCGGACGCACCAACUUGAGCACACCUUCCUCCCUUGUUAUGCUUCCCAUUGCCACUAUUUGAUUUCAAUGCUCUCUUAGCAAACAGGGCUAAGAGAAAAACUCAAGCAAGAGAAGCUACCAGGCUGCUCAAGUUGUCUUCUUAUAGGUCUCAACUCACUAAAUGAUAAAAUUUGGUGGCAAAACUUAUGAAGAAUCUUCGGAUGGCAUGAAAGAUUGGCUGGAGAAUGUGAAUUCCUUUGUCCAGAUAGACUCUGUAAUCACAAUUUAGUAGAUUUUUUGUUUGUUUUGUC